rnacentral:lncRNA from 1 species
GAGGUGCUCCCAGCAGUACAUGGGUGGCGCAGGGAGGGGCUUAGGGACGCGGCUUGCGGAGCAUCGAAUGGAUAUUGGAGGGGGAAGAUUGAGUGCGGCCCUGGCGAGGGGGACCUAUGAGCAGGACAUCACUGUGGUGUGGAGGGGCGCUGGAGUUGUCAGGCGGGUCUGGGAGGUUGGUGCUCUCGGUGCUGCGGAGAUGAUUGGGAUUGGUCGCCGAGGGGCCCACCUGGGGGUUGUCAAUGGUGGUCGGCCUGUUGAGCUGGCGCAUGCUUGGACAUGGGCGCUCAGCAUAGGCAUGGGGAUCCCCAGUGGUAUAU